rnacentral:lncRNA from 1 species
UUUGAUACUUUCAUUUCAAUUGCAUCGUCUUAAAGUACAAAACUAACAAGAUUCGUGAAAUUUUAAAAACUAAAAGAAAAUUCAAUUAUUAAGUUCAUCACAAUAACUACAUAAAAGCUUGAUAAUUAACGACAUAUACAAAUACUUUUACGACACCUCAUAUGAUGAGGAUAUGGGCAAAGACGGUUUGGACAAUCCUUAUCACGAACACAUAUACCACCCACUGUAAUGUAAAAAGAAAAUUUAAAAAGGAAUUAAUGUUACUAAAAUGGGAUAUUAUAUAUUAUGUAUAUGAAGGAAAUUUUUUUGCAGAGGAGAUAAUACUUACCAUCAAGGUUUGUUGCAACAAAAAAUAGGGAAAGAAGAAUAAUCAUAAAAACAGUAAACUUGACAAUUUUAGCCAUAUUUUCAAACCUUUAAAUGAUCAAAUAGAAUUUGAUUUUAUCAGUUUUCAAUUUAUAAAGCUCAUGUGUUAUCCUUGCAUCAAUCAAAUGUUUUUAUGCAUAUAGAGUAGUAAAAGGACUUUCUAAAAUUUUAAUAAUUAUUAAAUGUCUCUUAAGUAUUAAAAUGCGUUAAUAUACCCCUUUAGCACGUUUAGUAAGGAGGUCACAUAAAACUUUAAAUCAUAAUAAUUCGUUUAUAUUUAUUUAUUUUUUUUACCAAAACUUCAUUAUUUUUAUAACCUUUGAUGAUAGAAAAUGAAAAAUAAAAAAAAAAACAUGAAUAAUAUUAUUCGAAACACACUAAACUACAUAGUUAUAAUUGUGUAAGAGCCACGAUAGUUUAUAAACCAUAUGUUACUCUUCGAAUCUGAGAUCUGGAUGAUAGGUUAGUGGUGAGUAUGAAUUGUUGGUGUUUGUUUAUGAUGGUACUUCGUUGUUAAAGAGUGGGUGGUACUUGCAUAUACUCCGAUUAUCAAGUUUGUAGAUGUCAUGUCCGUUGUGAAAAAUGUAUCAAUAUUAUGACAUAAUAAUGAAAUUAUACAUGACAAAAAAAAAAAAAAUUAUAGGCUUAGAACAAACAUAAAUACUAGCUUUCAUCUUAACUAUUAAAGAUAUUUUAAUAGACACUAAGUUGUAUCAAUAUUAUGACAUAAUAAUGAAAUUAUACAUGACAAAAAAAAAUGAAAUUAUAGGCUUAGAACAAACAUAAAUACUAGCUUUCAUCUUAACUAUUAAAGAUAUUUUAAUAGACACUAAGGUAGAAAAGAUAGUGUAACAUGUCUGAAUUGAUAUUCCAUAAAAAAAAAUGUCUGAAUUGAUAUUAACGAAGACAAUAUAUAUAAUAUUUUUUGAUACUUUAUUAUAUUACUAGACCCUUAUUCGUGCGAUGCACGGGUGUGAUGCGUUGUUUUAUAUUAUAACGUGGAAAAAUUAAAAUACUAAAUAUUAUCAAAAUAAUAAAUAAUAAUAAUAAUAAUAAAAUAGAGGAUCCGAGAUUCAAACUCCAAUCAUAGUAUUUUUAAAAGUUGAGUUGAAAUAAGCAAUGAUACAACAAAAGUGAAAAAUAGAAGUCUUUAUUCUCUUCUCCCAAGUCACAUAAAAAAAGAAAUCAUAAAUCACAAUAAGAUUAAAGGAAUUAAAAAAUAAAUAAAGUUAGAAAAUAUUAGUUUUAAAGUUACAUGAGCAACUGUUUUUUAUAGACUUCCCGAACAAUAAUGAUGCAACAAAAGUGAAAAAUAGAAGCCUUCCAUUUACAUGAAAAAUAGUUAUGAGUAAACUU